CCAGCAGCUGCGGUAAUUCCAGCUCCAAGAGUGUAUAUUAAAGUUGUUGCGGUUAAAAAGCUCGUAGUUGGACUUGGGGAUCGUGUACAAUGGUUCCUGGGGGCUCACGCCUCUGGGGUUAAGGCCGUGUGCGCUUUUCUAACAUGGGGCGCAAGGGUGGUGUUCGUCUUCGGGCGGGUGCUGCCUGUUCCAUUGGGUUUACUUUGAAAAAAUUAGGGUGUUCAAAGCAGACGAAAUCGUCUUGAAUACAUUAGCAUGGGAUAAUAGAAUACGACCAUUGGUCAGACUUUAUUGGUUUCUGGGGCCAGGGUAAUGAUUAACAGGGACAGUUGGGGUCGCUUGUAUCCGGUGGUUAGAGGUGAAAUUCUAUGACCCAUCGGGGACAAACAAAUGCGAAGGCAUUCGACAAGGAGGUUUUCAUUAAUCAAGAACGAAAGU
rnacentral:rRNA from 1 species